rnacentral:rRNA from 1 species
ACGCUGGCGGCGUGCCUAAUACAUGCAAGUCGAACGCUCUUUUCUUAUCGAACUUCGGUUCACCGAGAAAAGGGAGUGGCGAACGGGUGAGUAACGCGUGAGAAACCUGCCUUUCACAAAGGGAUAGCCUCGGGAAACUGGGAUUAAUACCUUAUGAUACUUCAAAUUCGCAUGAAAUUGAAGUUAAAGCGUAAAGCGGUGAAAGAUGGUCUCGCGUCCCAUUAGUUAGUUGGUGAGGUAACGGCUCACCAAGACCGCGAUGGGUAGCCGGCCUGAGAGGGUGAACGGCCGACACUGGAACUGAGACACGGCCCAGACUCCUACGGGAGCAGCAGU